rnacentral:lncRNA from 10 species
GACUCAGACUGGCUUUCUUCCUCCUCAGCUUGCAGAUGGCCUAUUGUGGGACCUUGUGAUCGGGUCUACUCAUCAGACAAAUUUAUACCGUCUCUGCUAGAUGUUUUAAGUAGGUAAAGGAAGCUUUUGAUCAUCUACGGACUGAGAGCAAUCAAACCCUUCAUGAUCCAGAACUUAGAGAUUGGAUAUUCUGAAAACCAAGAGAAAAACUGCCUUUUCCACACACCCUUCCACAAACCUUUGGGACUUCAAACCUUAGGUUUGUAAUCUCAAAACUCAGAAGGGUUUCUCCAAACUCUUGGAAUAUGGCACACCCUUGGAAACCUUAAGAAUCAAGAAAGCUUCUCCCCAGAAGCAGAUGACAUCCUAGAUUUGGACAGUUUCCUCAAGAUCACAAAUCAAUACUUCUCUGCCAUCACAAUACUUUUAGCUCUCUUAAUUGUUUCCCUUGCUAUGAACAAUAGAACUGGAAAAGGGGGCUUGUGUUUACCCACUUCUUUUUGUGAAGGAUUUUGCAGCCAAUCUUAUACAUGGGCAGUCUUGUGCCUUGAUGAAUGAAAGAUGAAAGUCCAAUGUGGGUUAGAAAUUUUAAUGGUACCUUUGUUACUUCAUAGUUAGAACAUUGGUCAGCUCCUCUUAACCUACAUCAUAGGUUAAAGAGAACAGUGUCAGGAGGACUUGAGCUUUCUGGCUGGGCAUCAGUUUUAGGUCACUUUUUCCAUGGCUUGGAGUAAAUGAGGCAAUAAUCAAAAAUUUAUCCCGCAUAAUAAGCUCUGUAGCAGGAUUCCACUGUGAGGUUAUUGUUGCACAAUAGAAUUUCAAAAAUUAUCUCGCUAAAAUUGUACUAGAUUAUAGAAUUGCUCAAGAUUACCUACUAGAUGACAAAGGAAAAAUUUGUGCAGUUGCUGAUAUUUUUUGUUGCACACGGAUGAAUAUAUAAUGCAUUUUAAAGACUCAGUUGCAGGGGGUUAAUGAAGAGGCUGCUUGGUUAAAGCAAGUAGACUCUUAAUUUGGCUCAUUCUUUGAUUGAUUUGAUUUUAGUUGGCUUGGAUCAUGGGGACCCUGGCUAGGGAACAUACUCCAAACUUUGGUAUUAUCCUCCUAAUAAUCAUAAUGGUAGUCUCCUUGGUGUGCUACAUUCUUUCAAAAGUUUAAAUGUUUACAUGCAGCCACUAAUACACUGUCAAAUGGUCGCUCUUCAGCUGGAAUGACAACUCAAAGAAAUGCAUAAUCAUAAGAACAACAUUAUCCACAAAUGAUAUGCUGAGACCGAAAACCCAAAAUGAUGGUAACUGGGAGUAGCAUUAAAGCCCCAAGUUUUGGUCACUCUCACCUAACUGAGAACCUCAUCAAAAGGGGGUAAUUGUAAAACAAAAUUAGGAGAGGCAAUUGUUUUGGACUGAGCUUGUACACUACGCCACAAAAGACCAAAAUAAAGUCACUCAUGCUAAGUGCAAUAUAAUCAAACUGAAACUUUAAGCAAACAGAUAUAACCCUAAACAGACCAGCUUUUUUUUUUCUGCUAGAAACAGGAGAUUCCAGCAAAAUAAGAAAGUCUUGUGCUCUAACCCUUACAAAAAAGUAACCUGAAGUGACUUUAUGUUAACCCAUUAGGUUUUUUUCCUAUUGUUCUGUUUCCUUGUUUGCAGCAUACAAAACCCACUGAUUUGUUAUUUCCCAGAUAAGUGGGAACAGAUAAGUGGGAAUGAGUAGGAACAGAUAAGUACCCCAGUAAGUCCAUUUAUAAUGGUGACAGAGUGAUGUCAAUGCCUGAAGUUUGGUCAAUCUCUUUGGUCAAAAUUGAGAGGCUGACCAAAAGGGAGGAAUUAUUAUAUUAAGUUUAGCCUAAAGUUGCCUCCCUAAAGGUUUUUCCAUACAUAGUAAACUGUAGCAUAACUGAAUGUGUGAACAAACUGUAACCUACUCAUGUAACAAGUAGCAGAGUCUCAGCCAAUCACAGGCAGCCAACUGUUCAAACCAUGUUCAAAUAAAGCAAACACCCAGCUGUGACCAAUUCAGUUGUUUCUGUACCUUGCUUUCAUUUUCCUUCUCUGUCCAUAAAUGUUAUCUGAUCAUGUGGUAGCCGGAGUCACUCUGAACCUAUCCAGGUUCUGGAGGCUGCCUGAUGUGUGAAUCAUUUUUUGCUCAAUUAACUGUUAAAUUUAGUUCAUCUGAAAAGUUUUCUUUUAACACUUAAAAAUGCCAAUUGGAUCAAAGACUUAGUAGAAAAAUAUAAUUUAUUAAAUGACUCUAUUAGACCUAGAAAGUUUAACAGAACAAUUCAAUAUAGGAAAGAAAAUGGAAAAAAGCCUACCAAUCUUUUAAAAAUCACAUAUUUCUAGUGCUACUUAAACUGUACCAAAAUUGAAAAAGAGACUAGUUUAAUGAAAAGAAUAUAAUAUUGUUACUAAAGCUUGAUAAAGAUUAUUUUAAAAAGAAAAACUACAUACCACUUAAUAGUUAUAAAAGCAUAACCAUUAUCCUAUACAAUUCAACUGCAUAUUCAAAAACACAUUAUAAUCUACUGGGGUUCAUUCCAUGAAUCCAGUUUCAAUAAGUAGAAAAUAGAAUUCAUUGUAUAAGUAGGUCUGAAAAGAAAAAAUCCGCUUAUUUCCGUAGAUACUUUAAAAUCCUCUAACUUUUUAUUUAAUGGGGAACCAUUAGAGGCAUCCUAGUAAAGUGAAGAAAUGACACAAGCAUGAUGACUUCUGCUACUAUUUAGCAAGCUAUUGGUAGCGUUAUGAGAUGUAUUUAAGUAAAUAAAAUCAAUAGUAAGAUAUCUAGAAACUCACAACCUAACAAAACUGACUCAUGAAAAAGUAAAGUCUAAAUAAAACUAUACUACUAAGGAAAUUGAAUCAGUAAUCAAAAAACCUCCCAACAAGGAAAAGUCCAUAAUCAGAUGGCUUUACUGAUGAUUUCUACCAAACAUUUUUAGAAUUACCACCAAUACUCUUUGAAUUUUUCCAAAAAACUGAAGAGAAUACUUUUGACAAAGGUUAUAAGUUGCCUCAAAGGGGGCAAGGCAGUCUUCAACUAACGGUGUUGGGGAAACUGGAUAUGAACAUAGUUAUAGAAAACCAUGGGCAAAGAACUAAAGGAAAUCAGAAAAAUAAACAGUAAGGAUGUCAAUAAGGAGAUAUAAAUUAUAAAAAAAGCAUAAUUUCUGUGCUUAAAAGUACAUUAACUAAAAUGAAAAAUUUGCUGCAGGAGUCAACAGUAGAUUUGAACAGGCAGAAGAAAAAUGUAAGUUAAUUUGAAAUUACCCAAUCUGAGAAGCAGAAAGAAAAAGAAUGAGAUUGCCAGUUCCAACCUCUCCUAUAUAAGUUCCAGAGCUGACACUAGAGAUAAAAUAUUCUAUUUUAGCCCUCUUUACCACUCAAGUGUCUGUAUUCCCUUUGCAAAUCUAGUUCUGGAUGAAGAAAUUGCUGGAUGAAGGAAGAUCAUCCUUUCUGGCCAACUCCAGGGGUUUGCUAUAUCGUGGUUGCCUUUUUGGGUAUCAGCACUUCCGAAGUCAAGAAAGCCUAGAGAAUUCUGUACUUCAGUGAUGUUUACAGAUUGUGCCUAGGCCUCCUCAAAAUAUAUUUUUCCCUGCACACACUGUCCUGGUGAGUGGGAGUUGAGAUUUUGAUUCAUAGGAAGCCAUUUACGUGAGUAUAGAACAUUUACCUUGACCUGAAAAAUCUCAGAGAUCCCUUCAUCUCAAAGUGUUUUCCAAAUACUUAUCUCACUUUGCAGAAGUGUUCCAAGUCUUCCUGUGUAUAUGCUUUUGACAUUUUCAGUCUCUUCCUUUUAACCUCUCUCUGGAAGCUCUUCAGAGACCUGCAGUUUAUCCUGAUUAUAGAAUGUCAGGUUCUUUUCUUAAACUAACUCCUUAGGGAAAACAUUGUUUUUGUAGAUUUAAGAAGGAAAACUUACAUUUCAGCCUUCUCAGUGUUCUAUAUUUAAUUAAGGAUAGCUAACCCUUUGCCUUUUCUUCACAUACCAGUAAGCACCAACAAGUUGUGAAGAUUAGAAUUUCAAAACUUAUGAAUUCAACCAAAACCAGUAACUUAAAUUUUACUAUUGUUUAUAUUUGUGCUCUCAUUUGUUCAUAUAUGAAUACAAAGUAAAAUAUAGUUAAUAAAAAUUGAAUAUAUCCCACAAUGUACUCAUCUUAAUUAACUGGAACUCUGUCAGCCUAUAUUUCUGCUUAAACCCUAUGUAGUGUUAUUGGAAAUUUAUUAAAUAGCCUUGAAGCACUUAAAUAAAUGAAAAAAAGUGGAAUCAGUCACAAAUUUUUAAAGGUAAAACCUGCAUUUAUUUGAUAAACUUUUAGGUCUGAAUACAUUUGAACAAUUGUAAACUGGUAAUUUUUUUAGUGAUGUGUAUAGACAUUUUCUGUUAACUGAAAUAUUUGAUUAAAUCCUGAUAUAUCAAAACAAGAGUGAUGGUCAAAAUAUUCAACAACUUGUAUGGUACAGACAACUUCAUCGGCAUGGGCAUUAGUCAUAAACAACCAGUUUGACCCAUACUACUGAGUCUCUAUUAUAAGUCUUUUUGGGAGUUUUGACCUUAAUUUUUCUUUUUAGCUUUAAUAGUAGGCCAUCUUCCUCACCAUCAUGCUGUUUAUAUUAGGCUUUAAAAAUAUUACUUAAUGGCAAUAUGCUGAAACCUGUCAAUGAGAACAUUUCAGAUGGUUCAAGAUAUUUUAUAUAACACAAUUUUAUUUUGCUCU